GCCCGGUUAGCUCAAUCGGUAGAGCGCGAGGUACGAUUUCUCUCUUCCUAGCUUAUCACUAGCUUUACUGACUCCUAGAAUAGACUCUUACUCAAUAGAGGUUAUCUCGAGGUUGCGGGUUCGACCCCCGCAUCGGGCU
rnacentral:tRNA from 1 species